GUUCGAGCCCAUGCCCCGAGAACGUAAUUGUGUGAGGAUAUUGUCGCGGAGUGACGAGUGUAAUUGUAUCAUAGUUUAUGGAGAAAAACAAUUUAAAAGGGACAUUCAACGCGCUGUCAAAUCAGUCAUAUUUAAACUUGCGCAAUGACGUCGGCAUGUGGUCGCGGAGGAAAACGAUCAAAGAGAAAUUAAGGUCCUCACAUGGCGCGAAACCAACUUUUUCCAUGUCAAACUUGGACAGCGGCUGUCCAUGACACACAUGACAACAUCAUCUUCUAGUGGCGUGGAGCUCCACUCCACAGAAAAUACUGUAAUAAAGGAACUGGAAGAAGAGCCCUUUCGCUUUGUGGCCUUUAAAAUCAAAGGUGAACAGGUGGAGUUUGUGGACGCCACCAAUGCCACCAGAAUGGUUCCAUUAGAGGAGUGGAACCGAAAAUUCCCCGAUGGCCCUAAUCUUCCCCUAGAGGGGUUUUUGUGAGACUACCCUCAGAGGCCGGCCUCUGCGACCAGACAUGCUGGUGUGGCUCCACGACACCAAGUUGGAACUCUGACGUUACACGUGAGAGAGAGAGAGAGAGAGAGAGAGAGAGAGAGAGAGAGAGAGAGAGAGAGAGAGAGAGAGAGAGAGAGAGAGAGAGAGAGAGAGAGGCAACGUCAUCCGCCGAUUUAGGUGACCCAGUUUAUUAUUUUGUUUAUAGCAAAUACAGUCGCAAAUAUAUUGUUUCAAUGUGUAGUUAAUGGUAUUAAUGUAUUGUAUAGUAUAUGAUUUGAAUCUAUUUUAAUCUAUAGUAAUGGUAUUUUACCCAUGUCUUAUUUUGGGAUAUUUGUAACUUCUGCUGUCUUUAUUUUAGUAUUCUGGAAUACUAUGGUUUAUUUUGAAAAUGUUGUUCAGAUGUCGCAUGUAUUCCCAUUCUAGAUUGAUAGAUAGAAUUUACGGUAGCGUUCUUUGGCCCGCUGUCCAAAGAACAUAGAAAACAAUACGGAAUGCGAUCAUCUCAUGUGCGGUGGCACCACAAAGAAGAUUGCAGAAGUUAACUCAGCAGCAUGGACGCGUUCCAGGCAGUUACUGCGACCGCAAGGGGGUAAGUAUUACUAAAAAGAAGCACACAAGUUUCAAACUUGCUGAGUGGACAGUGAAGCAGAAAAUAGAUUUGUCAAAAAGUGUGAGGAAAAUAUGCACUGUCUGCCGACUCACAUUUUCCAUAGUCCAUGUGGAACUGACUCACCUUAAGCAACACGGUGGACACGAACGAAAAAACGCACAACUAAGCAAGGGGGAACCUGGACAGAUCCAUCAGGCAACGACAAAGAUAGUACGUAAAUAUUUUUUUAAACCCUCUCAAGGUUAAUAUGAGAAUGUACAAUGGAUGUCUAUCGUAUAGAAAAAGCUAUAUUAGAUUUUGGGUGUAAUAAACGACCAGGUAAAUAGAUAGAUAAUACAUAAAAACCAUUCGUUUGCAUACAUUGAUAAAUAAAAGAUCAACAUUAUGUGGCACUUGCCUCCCCAGAACUUUUGGUUUAUAGGAAGUUUUUUUUUUUUCUAUGGAAGAAACCCAUGCGCCCAAGUGCAAUAUGAAUUUUCGCCAGUAGAGGACGCUGAAAAUAAAUGUUGCACAGCGGAUGAGCUGUCUUCAUCAUUUCUGUCUGUAACAAUUGCACACACAGCCUUACAUUUGUAACUAGUUUUAGGAGAUGUGCAUAUUUUUAAAUGGACAUGCAAUGUAAUUCUGUCAACCUUUAAAUAAACUGUUAUUUUAUUUUUAAUGUGGAUAGAGGAUUUAUUUUUGGUGUUUCCGAUUUUACUGCAGAUUAUCCAGACAUCCCCAACGUCAAAGCAGCAGUAUUUUUGUCCUCAGCAUCCUUAUUUUCCACAAAGGUUUCUACAUUUUUCAACCGAAUCAACACAUUCCAACUUUCAACUGUUCAUCUUUUGCCUACCUAUUCCACAACUUCCCACUUACCAAAAAUUUCAAAUUUUCAAAUUUGAACUUCAACCUAAUUCUCUACAAUUUACUUUUUCUACUCUAAUUUCUACAUUUUGCAGACGAUUCAACCCAUUCCAACUUUCAACUGUUCAUCACUUGCCUACCUAUUCCGCAACUUCCCACUUACCAAAAAUCCCAAUUUUGAAAUUCAACCAAAUUCUCCAAAAGUUUGUUUUUCUACUCUAAUUUCUACAUUUUUCAACUAAUUCAACCCAUUCCAACCCAAACUGUUCGUUUGCCUACUUAUUCCACAACUUCCCACUUACCAAAUAUUCCAACAUUUCCAUUUUGAAAUUCACCACAAUUAGUCCACAUUUUCUUCAUUUCUCAAGUAAUUCAACUCAUUUCAGCAGCAUUCCCCAAAAAAGUUAUUCAUACAUUUCGCCUUCACACGCAAUUUCUCCAGAAAUUGCAAAAUUCUAGUUUAAUGAUGUUACUGUUCUAAAAACGUGCAAAAAAACGUGUUUUUAUAUAAUGUUUCGAUGGAGACUAACAUUUGUCACUACAGUUAUAAAAACAAUGCACUGUACACAUUUUGUGGACAAACACAAUGUAAAUAAAUGCAUUACAUUCCACAGUUUUAAUGAUUUUAUACACUGCUUUUUUGUCCUGGGCCAGACA